UUGAGUUGUAUAUAUAAGUUGAAAGGCUCACGUAUGGUUCUGAGGGGAGAAAGGGGCAGUGAUGCCCCCGACUUACCCGAC
rnacentral:misc_RNA from 1 species